AACGCUGGCGGCGUGCCUAAUACAUGCAAGUCGAACGCACAGCGAAAGGUGCUUGCACCUUUCAAGUGAGUGGCGAACGGGUGAGUAACACGUGGACAACCUGCCUCAAGGCUGGGGAUAACAUUUGGAAACAGAUGCUAAUACCGAAUAAAACUUAGUGUCGCAUGACACAAAGUUAAAAGGCGCUUCGGCGUCACCUAGAGAUGGAUCCGCGGUGCAUUAGUUAGUUGGUGGGGUAAAGGCCUACCAAGACAAUGAUGCAUAGCCGAGUUGAGAGACUGAUCGGCCACAUUGGGACUGAGACACGGCCCAAACUCCUACGGGAGGCUGCAGUAGGGAAUCUUCCACAAUGGGCGAAAGCCUGAUGGAGCAACGCCGCGUGUGUGAUGAAGGCUUUCGGGUCGUAAAGCACUGUUGUAUGGGAAGAACAGCUAGAAUAGGAAAUGAUUUUAGUUUGACGGUACCAUACCAGAAAGGGACGGCUAAAUACGUGCCAGCAGCCGCGGUAAUACGUAUGUCCCGAGCGUUAUCCGGAUUUAUUGGGCGUAAAGCGAGCGCAGACGGUUUAUUAAGUCUGAUGUGAAAGCCCGGAGCUCAACUCCGGAAUGGCAUUGGAAACUGGUUAACUUGAGUGCAGUAGAGGUAAGUGGAACUCCAUGUGUAGCGGUGGAAUGCGUAGAUAUAUGGAAGAACACCAGUGGCGAAGGCGGCUUACUGGACUGCAACUGACGUUGAGGCUCGAAAGUGUGGGUAGCAAACAGGAUUAGAUACCCUGGUAGUCCACACCGUAAACGAUGAACACUAGGUGUUAGGAGGUUUCCGCCUCUUAGUGCCGAAGCUAACGCAUUAAGUGUUCCGCCUGGGGAGUACGACCGCAAGGUUGAAACUCAAAGGAAUUGACGGGGACCCGCACAAGCGGUGGAGCAUGUGGUUUAAUUCGAAGCAACGCGAAGAACCUUACCAGGUCUUGACAUCCUUUGAAGCUUUUAGAGAUAGAAGUGUUCUCUUCGGAGACAAAGUGACAGGUGGUGCAUGGUCGUCGUCAGCUCGUGUCGUGAGAUGUUGGGUUAAGUCCCGCAACGAGCGCAACCCUUAUUGUUAGUUGCCAGCAUUCAGAUGGGCACUCUAGCGAGACUGCCGGUGACAAACCGGAGGAAGGCGGGGACGACGUCAGAUCAUCAUGCCCCUUAUGACCUGGGCUACACACGUGCUACAAUGGCGUAUACAACGAGUUGCCAACCCGCGAGGGUGAGCUAAUCUCUUAAAGUACGUCUCAGUUCGGAUUGUAGUCUGCAACUCGACUACAUGAAGUCGGAAUCGCUAGUAAUCGCGGAUCAGCACGCCGCGGUGAAUACGUUCCCGGGUCUUGUACACACCGCCCGUCACACCAUGGGAGUUUGUAAUGCCCAAAGCCGGUGGCCUAACCUUUUAGGAAGGAGCCGUCUAAGGCAGGACAGAUGACUGG
rnacentral:rRNA from 1 species